rnacentral:lncRNA from 1 species
AAAAUCUUUUUAAGGUCUUUCCUGUUCUUUUAUGUCCUUUCCUUUUGGAUAAAAUAAAAGUCGGUGGCGACUCUUGCUAUCCGCAACAUUUAACUAAAGUCAGUUCUCCCACCGUGUUACACCAGGUAACUUACACACAAGAAGAUUCAACAUCUAACCCCCAACAACAUUGUCAUACCGGUUACUCACAACCCCUUAUCCAUCAAAAUUUUUGAUCCAC